UACGGAGGGGGCUAGCGUUGUUCGGAUUUACUGGGCGUAAAGGGCGCGUAGGCGGCCUGCUAAGUCGAACGUGAAAUCCCCGGGCUUAACCCGGGAACUGCGUCCGAUACUGGCUGGCUUGAAUCCGGGAGAGGGAUGCGGAAUUCCAGGUGUAGCGGUGAAAUGCGUAGAUAUCUGGAGGAACACCGGUGGCGAAGGCGGCAUCCUGGACCGGUAUUGACGCUGAUGCGCGAAAGCCAGGGGAGCAAACGGG
rnacentral:rRNA from 1 species